rnacentral:tRNA from 1 species
AAGAAAAUGCCUGAUUAAAGGACUAUUUUGAUAGAAUAGAACAUGUAGCAUGCUACUUUUCUUA